rnacentral:rRNA from 1 species
GACGAACGCUGGCGGCGUGCUUAACACAUGCAAGUCGAACGGAAAGGCCCUGCUUUUGUGGGGUGCUCGAGUGGCGAACGGGUGAGUAACACGUGAGUAACCUGCCCUUGACUUUGGGAUAACUUCAGGAAACUGGGGCUAAUACCGGAUAGGAGCUCCUGCUGCACGGUGGGGGUUGGAAAGUUUCGGCGGUUGGGGAUGGACUCGCGGCUUAUCAGCUUGUUGGUGGGGUAGUGGCUUACCAAGGCUUUGACGGGUAGCCGGCCUGAGAGGGUGACCGGCCUCAUUAGGACUGAGAUACGGCCCAGACUCCUACGGGAGGCAGCGGUGGGGAAUAUUGCACAAUGGGCGGAAGCCUGAUGCGGCAACGCCGCGUGCGGGAUGACGGCCUUCGGGUUGUAAACCGCUUUCGCCUGUGACGAAGCGUGAGUGACGGUAAUGGGUAAAGAAGCACCGGCUAACUACGUG